GAUGAACGCUGGCGGCGUGCCUAGUACAUGCAAGUCGAACGAGAUCUUCGGAUCUAGUGGCGGACGGGUGAGUAACACGUUGGUACCUACCCCGAAGUGGGGAAUAACUGCCCGAAAGGGUGGCUAAUACCGCAUAAUACCGUAAGGUUAAAGCAUUUAUGCGCUUCGGGAGGGGCCUGCGUCCCAUUAGCUAGUUGGUAGGGUAAUUGCCUACCAAGGCGACGAUGGGUAGCUGGAUCGAGAGGUUGACCAGCCACACUGGGACUGAGAUACGGCCCAGACUCCUACGGGAGGCAGCAGUAAGGAAUCUUCCACAAUGGACGAAAGUCUGAUGGAGCAACGCCGCGUGCAGGAUGACGGCCUUCGGUUGUAAC
rnacentral:rRNA from 1 species